rnacentral:lncRNA from 1 species
UGAUAAGAGACUUUAGCUGGGCAGUAUUGCCUGCUGGUUUGCUGAAGAAGCAGAGGUGCUGCCUCUGCUUUCCCCUCACCCCAUCUUGACACUUUCCAUCAGCCUGCUCAGCUGGGGCUUGGUGCUGGCACCACGGAGGCUGGCUGCUCCUCUCCUGGAUGGGGACUUCCUGACAGUGAGACACAAGAAGUGCGACUGAGGCCCCCAACCUGCCUCACCAGACAACCAGUGAAUAGUACAGCUUCUUCAGCAGCUGCACUGUGGUCUGGGCUGGAACCAAUAUUUAAGGUGCUGUGCAGAUGGAGACUACUGGACAUCCUUUGUACCUUACAGUUUGUAUUCAACAGUGACAAGACAGAAGAAGGACGGGGAAACCAGGAGAGCGUAAAAGAAAAUGGAGCCAGCUAUGUCUCAACUGGAGAAUUCUCUGUGCGUACCCUUUGAAUGGUGAAUGGACCUCUGAUCUCAGUGGUGCUAAUCUUGGCAUAGAUAAUAGCUUGUGGUAAGGUUGUAAAGAAAGUCUUCCAGUAGCUUAGCAGACUAACAGAUACUUGUGUGACUGUAAAGUUACAGUCCAGGACACUCUGUUUCCUCACUGUAUGCAUCUGUCUUUCUUGGCAGGAGCUACCAUUGCAGUUGUCCCCAGCAGAUGGGUCCUCACAUGGAAAACCUCAUGGAGAAGCAGCACUGUGGGUUGCAAACCUCUCCCAGGUUAGGGUCUGCUCUUAUAUGAACUGAGGGAAAGACAAAAGUGAAGUCUGUGACUUGAUAGCAAAACAGAAUGGUGCUUUACACCUCUUGAAAGAAGGGAGAUCACUGCUUGGCCUCAAUUACAGAUGGCUUAUGUAUGUUGAUCCUGGACCACAGGGGAGAGAAAAGCCACAAGGUUUGGCCUUUCCAUUUUUGUGACUGAUUUCAAUAUGCUCAGGGUUAAUCAGAUAAAACCAAUUAAUUACAUAGGAUUUUAUGCUGUCUUCUGGAGAAAUAGCAUUCAUCAGGCCAACAAACAAGACACUGAAUAUUCCUAUCUUAGUAGAGAAAGUUCUGCUUGGCAUCACACUUCAGUUUUGGUGCUGGACAAAAGCAAACAAAAUCCCCAAAUGUUGUGAUGGGUUAAGAUGAAAUGCUAACAUACUACCGGUAUCUCAGAAAAACUAAUAAGGCAAAGCCUGUGUCCUUUGCUGUAGGUACAGGCUCUAACCCCAUCAUUCGGUAGCUGGGAGCAUUUAUAGAUAACAAUGGGAUCUAAAAACUCACAUAAGACUUGCUGAUGUAGCGAUGAAGAGGACUGGUUCUAGUGUUCUUCAAGGCAAGAAGAGAAGCAGAAAACGGGAGUAACAGGUUGGUCAAGUAGUUCUCUUUUUAAUGAGUCAUUCUCCAAAGUGUUAACCAAGGAACCCUUCUUACACCCGGUGCAAUGAAGUAUGCCUUGAGUCGUUAGACA